rnacentral:lncRNA from 1 species
GAGGAGGAUCUUGCAAUGAUCCUAGCUAUGCACAUCAACAAAAAACCGAAGCAUGUGGUUUGGUUAUGGGUCGGCAGAAAAUUUGGAGGGAUAGGAUCGAUGCCCAUAGCAGAUUGAUGAGGCACUAUUUUGUGGAGAAUCCCACAUACCCAGAGUCGUACUUUCGUCGCCGGUUUAGGAUGAGCACCGAGUUGUUCAGGCGCAUUGCAGAGAAACUGGCUAGCCAUGACCGGUUUUUUCAGCAAAGGAGGAAUGCCGCCGGAGAGCUCGGGCAUAGCACCUUUCAGAAGGUGACAGCCGCUUUGCGUAUGUUGGCAUACGGUAUCCCGGCUGAUCUAGUUGAUGAUCACUUGGCUAUGGGUGAGAGCCAAGCCAUCAUGUGUGUCGAGCGCUUCGCAGUCGGAAUUGUGCAAGUGUUUGGCCAGGAGUAUUUGAGAUCUCCGAAUGCUGAAGACGCCGCAAGGCUAUUGGAGAUGAACAAAGCUCGCGGCUUCCCUGGUAUGCUUGGCUCAAUAGAUUGCAGGCAUUGGAGUUGGAAGAAUUGUCCAAAGGCAUGGCAUGGGCAAUUCCACGGCCAAAAAAGGGUUCCAUUAUAAUCCUUGAAGCGGUGGCCGAUCAAGAGACUUGGAUUUGGCAUGCAUUCUUUGGAAUGCCUGGAUCUUUGAAUGACAUCAAUGUUGUCAACCGGUCACCACUGGUGAAUAAGAUUGCAAAUGAUGAUUUGCCACCGGUGCAGUUUGUAGCAAAUGGCCGUACAUACAACUACGACUAUUAUCUAGCGGAUGGCAUCUAUCCAAAGUGGCAAACCUUUGUGAAGCCGUUGAAAAAUCCGUAAGGUAGGAAAAAUCUUGAUUUCCACAAUGCUCAGGCGGCGGCUAGAAAAAAUGUGGAGAGAGCUUUUGGGAUUUUGCAAGCCCAAUUUGCUAUUGUGAGAGGACCGGCUAGAUUUUGGGAUCAAAAAAUGCUUUGGUACAUCAUGCACGCUUGUGUGAUCAUGCAUAACAUGAUCAUCGAGAAUGAGCGUGGCCAAGAUGUAGACUACUCUCAGUAUGAGCUGUUGGGACAUCCCGUGUGAGUGCGACGGAGGGCUGAAAGGGUCGCCCGUUUUGUUGCCUCCUACCAUGCCAUUCGACGUCCCGCAGCGCAUGAUGAUCUUCAGAAGGAUCUCAUGGAGGAGUGGUGGGCAUGAAAUGGACGACAAAAAGCAUCAUGAUUUGUGCGUUUGACAUUGUAUUGUUGAACUAUUUGUUGUGUUUAUUGCACUAUUUGUUGUUUUGAACGAUAAACUGUUUGUUUGAGUUGUAAUAAAAAAAUUGAACUAUUUUUUUGAUUUAUUUUGUUUGUGUUUGAUAUUUUUCUUUUGUUUUGAAAUGCAUAUGUUGUUUGUGCGAGAGUCGCGCGCGCUGCAUUUUUGCACGCUGCUGGAGCUGCGUGCGCGCUGCAUUUUAGCGCGGCUGCUGGAGCCAGCGCUGCCCGUCGCGCCAAACCAGGCGAUGGGCGCGCGGCAAAGUAGUUUUUAGCGCGCGGCGCGUUCGGCGUCUGUUGGAGAUGCUCUGAUAAGCUUGGUGCAUGACGUGACACAUAUAGAACGACCGGAAGAAUCCUCUGGUGGCAGAGUUGACUAUCCCAAACGGUGGUAGCGGAACAGCUCCGUCGUGCAGGCGGCCAGCGACACAGAGAUAUGAUGUACCACCUUGUCCUGGAGGUACGUGAUGUUGAGAUAAGUCCUACAGUGAACACAAAUGACUAGGGAAGCAACUUAGACGACGUACCUGCCGAUGAAGUCUCAAUAGUGCUAAAAAAGAAGUCCAUGGUGCGGGCUAUAGAGAACUUAUCAGGACAAAGUUUAUGAACUAUAAAGUGGAGGAGGAGAAUGAGUGACAUGCGGUUCUCUCCUCGGGUUUUGCUUAAUUAGGAGGUGGAGGGAUACGACGAUCAAUGUCAACUAGUGGCAUCCAGUGCACCAGGUCAGGUUGGGGCGAUGAAGGCAUCUAAAGUGAGAAAAAAAUUAUCUGAAUGGGUUCUAUGUAUAAGUGGUAUCGGAUGAUUUCAUGUCGAAACCAAGUGGAAAGGAUGAGUGAAUUAAGUUCUAUAUCGAGGGAAAGAGGUGGCUCCAUGGCUGCACAUGCGUGUAGCAUUCUCUAUUGAUGCUACCGUGCAACCUUCUCUGGCAGAGGAAGGAGGAGGAGGGACCUUCUAUUCACCGCUUCAGGGGCAAAAAAGGACGGCAUGCCUAUGCCUCGCUUAUAGCAAGGCGAAAGGCAACCUCGCCCGUGUGCAACUCCUACAGGGUGGGCUGACCUAGUAGGACGUGGUUCACCAUGCAGAUAUCACUCACACAUCAUGCCAAUUUCGUUAUUUAUUUAUAUUCUAAAUGGAAAUAUUUUAAAAACUUAAAUUUACUUAAAAAUGUUAAUGCAGUAUAGAAAAUGUUAGCAAAAUUCUAAAUAAAAUGUUGAUAUCUUUAAAAUAUAUUUUUACGAAGAAAAAAUGUUUCUGUGUUUCAGAAAGAUGUAUGACAAUUUUUUUUAAAUGUGUAUACACUGUACCAAAAAUGUUUACGUACUAUCAAAAGUGUUUCGUACCACUAAAAAAUGUACAUGACAUUUCAAAGAAAUGUUUUUGCAUUUCAAAAAAAAAAUUGUGACAUUUUAAAAAUUGCUUCUACAGUGUAAAAUAAUGUUUGUGGAGUUAAAAAUGUUUAUUGCUAUUAAAAAUACACUUGACAUUUUAAAAGAAUUAUUCACGUGUUUCCAAAAACAAUGUUGGUGAAAGUUUUAAAAAUGUCUAUGCAUUGUAAAGAAAUGUUCUCGUAGUGUGGAAAAUGUUUAAGGUCGUUGAAAAAUGGUCGAUGUUUAUCUGAAACAAUGUUGACCGUGUGUUCAAAAAAGUGUUUAUAACAUCUUUCUAAGAAAAAUGUACAUUGUGUGUUUGAGAAAUGUACGAUGUGUAUUAAAAAUGUUUCAUGUGUACACUGAAAAAUAAGUAGACAUGUGUUGUAAAAACAAAAAAUGGUGAAACCGACAAAGAAACAUAAAGAAAACCAAGAAAAACACCAAUAUAAUGAAGGAAAAAAAUAGAAAUCUGGGGAAGAAACAAAAGAAAACCGACGAUAAAAAGGAAACAAGGAAACAGAGCCAAAAACUGCAAAAAGUAAAAGAAAUAAAAGAAAAUCAGGAAAGAAAAAAACUGAAGAAAACAAAGGAAAAAAGGAAGGUAGGAAAACCCAGUGAAAAUUAAGAAAGAAGCAAAAAAAACUCAUCCACCGUUAAGCGAGCGAGCGAACGUAAGAAAAAUGGGCCGACGCAAAUACUAUGGCGACAAGGAGAAAUCUGCAACCGAUGGUACUAUACGACUCGCUAUAAGCGAUAUAUAGUUGAUGCGCCAAAAAGUAUCCCUGGCACUGGCUAGCUUCAUUCGUGUGCUGCGGCCCAACAGUGCCAUCCAUAGCAUCGCCACGUGUCACGUACCGGCCCACAAUUCCGUUCAUUUUCUGCACACAUUUUUGGAAUUUUUUUUUCGUUUUAGUUGGCUUUUCGGUUUUUACUUGGUUUGUCCUAGGUUUUGGUCAAUUUGUUUUUUCAAAACACAACUGUGCUUCUCGGAAAAGGAAAAAACACAAUCUAUGCUGCCAAGAGAAAAGCACAACAUAUAUUUCUGUGAGAAGCACAACUCGGCUUCCGCCAGAUGCACAGUGUCUGCUUCCGUCAGAAAGCACAACAUAUACAUCCCAAAGAUGGGGAAGCACAACCUGUGCUUCUUGGAAACAAAAAAACACAUUUGUCCUUCCUAGAAAAAAAAAAGGGAAAACAGCCGAAAAUGCUAAACGGAGACCGAGCUCCAUGAAAGCCUUUAUUUGAAAACUUUAAAAUUAAAACUUUUUAGUUUGAAAAAAUUGUGAAAAUAAAUACACAUAUACCUAGAUACAUAAUGUACAUGUGUGCAAAUUUUCAGGUCGAAAUACAUUAAAAUGUGAGCUACACAAAAAAGAAAAAUCUGGGGCCUUUUAGCACGUGUACUGUUCAUCUAUAAAGUCCAUGAUUUUAGUUUUUUUGUACAGCUGGCAAUUCAAGGUAUUUCAUUGUGAAAUUUUUCACACAUACACUUUACAUCUUUGCAUACAUGUGUAUUUUUUUCAGAAUUUUUUGAAACUGAAAUUUAUGAAUUUUGAAUUAUUCAAAAUAAAGGGCUUCAUGGAGCUCGGUCUCUAAAAUGCCCUACUGGAAAACAGCUGGCUUCUUAGAAGAAGCACAAACGUGCUUUCUGAAAAAAAAAAGCACAACCUGUGCUUCCCAAAAAAAUUGAAAACCGCAAUUGUGCACCCGGGUUCUACUUUUUUCUAUUUAGUUUUUUUUUCACUUUUCAAUUUUUUUAUCCUCUUUUUUUCAUUUUUUUUAAAUUUACUAACAUGGGAUCUCAAUGCGAGAAAUGCAACAGUGAAAUGAUUCAUGAUUUGCACACAUGGUUUAAAAGAAAAAAUGAAUUGAAAAAGGCAAUCUAAAAAAAGCGAAACUCCCAUGUUACGAAAAGUGAUACACAUGGAGUGCGCCACUAGUAAGCACCAGACAAAGGUUGUGGUGCAUUUGCAAGGGGUACACCUUAAUUAAUGAUUUUGGAGGUCUCCUUGUUCACGAGGUUCUUUUUUCUGUUUGCUAUUUCCUACUAAGAUGGCCAUUGUUUUUUUAUAGUUUAAAAUAAUGUACACAUUCAUAAAAAAUUUAAAAAUUCACGGGAUUCAAAAAAAUGCAUUUUUUUGUUAAAAUCAUGAAUUAAAAGAAUUACCCAUAUUUGCAGAAAAAACAGUUCAUGAAUUCGAGAAAAUUUUGUGAGUUUGAAAAGUUCAUGGAUUUGAAAAUAUGUUCAUGGACUUCAUGAAUUUCACGAAUUCAAAACUUCAUGUGCUAAAAAAAUUAAUGGGUUUGGAAAAAGUUCACGGAUUUGAAGAAGUUCACCGGCAAUGGGUAGGGUAUGGGCGGGUAUGAACUUUUUGUGCCCAAACCCAUACCCGAAAGUUUUUUCUAUACCCGCCCAUUUCAAUAUCCAUGGGCACAAAUUCGUACCCAUGCCCAUACCCAUCGGGUAUCUUAUACCCAAUAGGUAUCCGGUGGGUACAAUAUACAACAUUGGCAUGAUAAAGUAAGACAAGAAAGGGCCUAAAACUAAAGUUAGGUACUCAGCCAUCAUAAUCUGGUUUGCACUUACAUCAAAAUUUCACAAUGACGAUUGACACACAAACGUCUUAAUCUCCAUUACAAACUAACUUUGAAAAACAAUCAAGUUUGUAAACUUGCAAUGCUAAUUACUGUAGGUUUACCUAGAUAUUAUAGGGUUUAAUUUUUUCAUUAAUUGUUCUGAAUAUCCAUUGGGUUACCCCUGGGUUAAUUUCAUACCCAUACCCUACCCAUGAAUUUUGCGGGUAUGGAUACCCAUUACCCAUGGGUAUGAACUGGUAGAAAGUCUCACCUAUGUCCACUGUUUUUGGGCAGGGUACCCGCGGGUACCCAUACCCAUGGACAAAACUGCCAUCCUUCACGAAUACAAAAACAAUUCAUGGAAUUUAAAAAUGUUCAAGAAUUUGGAAAACAUUUGGUGGAUUUGAACAUAAGUUAACUGAUUUGAAAAAGUUCAUGGAUUCAAAUAAAAGUUCCCAGACUUGAGAAAAGAUCACAAAUUUGAAAACAAAAACGCAGACUUGAAAAAAGUUCACAAACUGGCAAAAGGCGUAAGGAUUUGAAAAAUUCUCACAAAUUGAAAAUCAUGAAUUUGAAAAUUGUUUCUGAGUUUCAGCAAAGAUAACAAAAUUGAAAGGAAAAGGUUCAUAAAAUUUAAAAUGAAAAAGAAAAAAAGGAAAAAGGAAAAAGGAAAAGAAAAACCGCAAGGUAAACAAAAUAAGAUGAAUAAGAAAACCAGACUGGAAAUCGUGUUGCACCACGCGGCUCGUGAAACUAGCACGAAUGAAGCAGUAAGUGUGCUUAAACACGGGCGCAACAAGAAACAAGAAAAGGUAAAUAAGCUGAGCCCACGACAAAGAGGGUUGUGCGUUGUGGUGUAGAAAUAGUAGGAAUUGGAGAGCAACUGGUUGAGUGGUAUACCUUGGGCGACUACUAGGCACCGGUCAGCCGGCCGAAAGUUUCGUCCGGUCACCUCUCAGUCAUUCGAUCGCAGUCCAUUGUACGCACAGAUCGCAGAUGGCUUUCAUCGUCUAUCUUGCUUAGCUCCUCGCGAACAAAAAAAGAGAGGGGAAAAUCCUCCUGAACGGAUUGCGCUCACCCUCUACCUCGCGGUGCCAUCCCGUUCGUAGAUCGACAGCUCGUGUUGUCGCUAGUACUGUCUUCCUCGUCGCCGCGUGCAGAAACGUCUGUCCAACUUGUCAUUGUGCCGGUUGCCUGUGGUACCUGCUGCAGUUGCUGGUUGCAGCAAAAAAUACGGCCCGCACCGUCACUGGAGGUGUCGUUCUCGCUAGUUGCAGCAAAAACACGGCCACCAUUGCUGGUGGUAGCUGUCGUUUCCACCGGUUCCAGCACUGGGCUGUCUGGUUGUAGCAAAAAAACGGCCGCCGCCAUCGCCGGUGGUAGUUGCCGCUGUUGCUGGUUGUAGCAAUGAUUUGGACAGUUCUAGCAAAAAAAGGUCGCAGCCGCUCCCAUCGCAACUCAGCCGUUGCCGAUGGUAGCAAAAUCAACUAUCGGUUGUAGUAUCGGUUGGCUGGUUGCAGCAAAAAAGGUUGGCACCACCGCCGUUGCAACACGGUCGUCGUUGGUGGUAGGCUGGUAGCUACCGCUGUCGCCGGUUGCAGCACUGGGCUGGCCGGUUCUACCAUCUGAGUUUGCCGGUUGCAGCAAAAAACUGCUGCCCGUUCCCCUCCAAUUUGGUUUGGAGCAAAAAUCAACCAUGGUUCCAGCUUCUACCUUCUCCGGUUCCAGCAAAAACAUUGUUGGUUCAAACAUCAUGAUCCGCUCACCGGUGGUUGCAUCUCCUCGUCGUGGUCACGCGUGGAAGCUCAAUGGAACGACGCCCCCGACGGCUGCACGGCUCAACUCCGUCAAGGGGCCACACCAUCCCCACAUCCGACGACACCGCGUGCAGACGUUCUCUGAAGUAGGAGGGAUAUGGAUGCUUGUUGCAGGGUGCUUGCCAUGGCGUCAUGGUGGAUGGCGGUAGUCGUAGCAGGAAGAAGGAUGGGAGAGCUGCUCACCAACAUGAUGGGGAGCUGGGGAGAGAGGGUUGGCUCUCGCUGGGCAUGACGGGGAGAGAGGGUUGUUCGAGCAUGGCAACAAAAACGAUGGUGGCUGUUGGGAUGCAGCAGCAGAAGGAGGUGAUGGAAGACGAAUAAAGCACGAAGAGAUAAGGGGAUUGGAUCGAGCGAGCAAGGCGGCCGGCCACACGCUCGGUCGGUCGUCCAUAUACAAGCGUUUCCCUAUCCCUUGCGGGAGCCACGCAAGGGUCACUAUGACAGGCUGUGAGCGCACCAACUGGUGCGUCCAGCCGCCAUCACGUGGCGUGUGCUGCGCCCUCUCUCGUGAUAUUAUGUUUGUAUUUUUUCUAUACGCGCUUUCGGAUUUUGGAUUAUUUUUUUGGUUUCCGUCCUACUUUCCCUAGGUUUCGAAGGGAAAAAAUUGAAUUUUUUGCGUAAUUUUUUGUGUGCUUUCACGAGAAGCACCAAUUUGCUUCUGGUUGAGGCACAAAUUUGCUUUCGUGAGAAGGCACGGUUGUGUCUCCCAGAACAAAAAUAAUAUGUUUUUUUGCUUCCACAAGAAGCACAUUUGCUUCUUGCAGAGACACAGAUUUGCUUUCGCAAGAAGCAUAAUUGUGCCUCUCGAAAAAAGAAAAAACGUGUUGUUUUUCCUUCCACGAGAAAGCACAGAUAAGGAUGGCAAUGGGUAGGAUAUGGGCAGGGUAGAGCAAUACCAUACCCAUACCCGUAUAGUCAGUGGGUACAAAACUCUACCCAUACCCGUACCCAUGGGUAUGAAACUUUACCCAUACCCAUACCCGACGGGUACCCAUACCCAUUGGUACCCAACGCGUAGAACAAAUAGUACACAAAUUGUUCACAAUUUUAUGCUCAUUGAUAGCAUAUUUGACAAAAAAACAAUUAUGUCAGCUCAAUAACAGGCAGAUGAGUAAAUGACAUAUAUCAAAAUUUAAAAAUCACAACAUGCUCUUAAUUCAGUAGGAGUAGACGCGUCACGUGACAAAUUAAUGACUAACUGACGGCAACUUAACAUUAGUUCACAAAUGGGUAGGGUAUGGGUAUACCCGCGGGUACAAGGUUAUACCCGUACCCUACCCAUGACUUAAUGGGUAGGGUAUGGAUACUACCCAUGGGUAUAAAAGUGUGCCCAUACCCUGCCCAUGCGGGUACGGUACCCGCGGGUACCCGUACCCAUGGGUAAAAUUGCCAUCCUUAAGCACAGAUUUGCUUAUCGUUUAGACACAAAUUUGGUCCGCGAGAAGCACAACUGUGCCUCCCGUAAAGCGGAAAAAAGUAUUAAAAAAGGGCUUCUGGCUCUGAUGUUUUUUUCCUGGUUUUUUCGUAUAAAAAAAUUCACCGAAACGUAUUAACAUGGUAUCUAGUUUUGAACAUCUCGACGCGAAAAAUUCAACAGAGAAAAUAGUUCGAGAUUUGGACGCAUGAUUGAAGAGAUAAAACGUUUCAAUAAACAAAUCUACAAAAAAAGAAAACUCACAGGUUGCGACAAGUUGUGCAUAUGCCGUGCGCCACUUGUUAGCGCCUGAGAAGGUGAGAGUGGGUUUUACAACACUACAAAAAAAAAUACACUUCCGAGAUUAUACGUGUUUGUCACAGUAGGUUACGUUUUCAUUCAUGCAUGUACAUCCAUGACAAUUUUAUGACAGAAUCAAGAUAGUCAUACCUGUGCUGUCGUAGAAGUGUUCCAUGACAUUACUACCAAAAUUAUCAUCACGGAACUGUCCACUUCCAUGACGAUAAAUCACGCGUCACAGAAGUGCUUUUGUCAAGGGUGACCGACACGUGACAUCCACCGUAACGGGUCACCGUUAAGCUAUCGGGUUCCGGUUUGGAUCCGAUAACCCGUUAACAGCCCGGACCAAUGGGGAUUUUCCACGUGUAAAAUUCUCAAUGUCCAGAGGAACCACGUGUCGGCUCACCGUUGGGAUAGAUGCCAUCUACUCAUUGGACCGAAGGCGCCUAUGAUUCGUCGACACGUGACAGGGCCCAACAGAGGCCCAUAUAGGUUAAAAAGGUCGGCCCAGUCAAAGGCCCAUAGUAUUUACUCAGGUACUAGUGGGUCAGCCCAAUAACGGCCUGUUUAAACAUGGCCCAUUUACGGCCCAAAGCCAGAUCUGGCCCGUUAAUUGUUCGCUGAAUAUUUGGGCCCAAUUACGGCCCAGUGACAUUUUGGCUUGUGAGAGCCGAUGUAGGCAUGGGCUCAUUUCAGCCCGGUGUGUAUUUCGGCCUGGGAAUGGCCCGUGCUGCCCAUGGGCCAUAUAUGGUCCGACACGACAUCCGGCCCUCUAACGGCCCGUGAUAAAGGUGGCAACACUUUAGCCCAACGUGACUUCGGGCCUGUUAAAGGUCUGUCGUAUAAUUCGGCCCGUUGAUGCCUGUACUAAGCUUUCGGCCUCUUAAAGGCCCAUGAUAUCAGUGGGCCAACUAAGGCCCGAGAUAUGUUUCGGCCUGGUAAUGGCCCGUCAUAUAACUAGGCCAAAAAAGGCUCGGUCUACAUUUCAGCCUACUGAAGGCCCGUCGACGACUAGUGAAAAUUGAGGCCCAACAUGCAUUUCGGCCUACUAAAGACCCAUGGUUUCUUCUGGGACAUAACAUGUCAGCAGAAUAUCCAGCCUGUUAAUGGCCCAAAGCUACAUGGGCCCAACUAAGCGUUGGGUCCACUAAAGGCCCAACUAAACUUUGGCCCGAAUAUAGGCCCGUGUAAGUUGUGGGCCUGGCGCAAAGUGUGAAAGCCCCAAGGGCCUUUCAGGCCCAAGAAAGUUGCAAGUCAGCCCAAUUGUGGCCCGCUAAAAAGCAAGCCCGUUAGAGGCGAAUGUUCGGUCCGGUCGACUACAUAAGAUUUUUUUUUCAGAUAGCCAAUGAUGGCAGUAACAGUAGGAAUUAAGAACAAACCUACUUUAUACAAUAAAGAAAUUACGGCAUAGUAACUUAGAAUAAACCUACACUAUACAAUAAAGGAUUUAUGGUAUAUUACAUCCACUGGGCAUCGAAGUUCGCCACCAGUGAUCAUAAAGCGCCACGAAGAAGCAGAUUACAAAAACUGGGCACCAUUGCAGUGUACCAAAAUAAUACUGAACCAAGACCACUUCCAAGAUAGUUCAAGAAAGGUUAGCCUUGCGUGGGAACUGCUGCGCAAGCUGCUGAGUAAGGCUGUGAGACCGGCUUGGCAUGUCGGUCAUAGCUUCCAGGUGUAGCUGUUUAGCAAGGAGGUUCUCAUUGGUGUUCUCCGCAAUCUUUCUUAGAGAUAGGACUUCAAGUCGAAGGUUAGUUGCAGAAUGCCUUUUUGCUAGAACUUGGGACUGAAGAAGUCAAACUGAUUCAGACAGCGAUUCUGUGAGCUUGUCUGACUACUAGUCUCAAGUAACUUGAACACUGCAUUAAGACAAGACUUUGGGGUUGUCUCGCUAUCUUCAAGAUGUUUUGCCUUCUUUGCUGCAAUAUAUGUUGGGUUUGUCUCACAGCCUUCAACAGACUUAUGCAUGCCACCAGACAUAUCACCCUGAAACAAGCAGAGAGAUGACAGGUUUUGCACGUGUAUAAACAAAGAUGAUAAUUAUGCUGUCAAUUCCAUCCAAUUAGAAAUUAAAAAAUAAAGACAAAGUUCAAAAUAUCAAUGAGUUGUAAAUUUUUAACCCUGGCACUGGCCAACAAAAGAAGGACUGCAAUAAAUUGCAUAAGAAGUUGCAAUGAGCUAUAAAUUAUGAAAAAAAUAGGGAAUGAUCUGACUUGUGGGCCUAUUAAGUUGGUGCGUAUGCAAGAUUUUUUUACUUAUUAUAUACGUCAACAAACGAUUCUGGCAGACGUAACCGUUGGAUGUCAAUCCAAUGGCCGUCGUGCUUCUUCAAUCUCACGAUCUUCUUGCUCCAGCCGCCAAAUCCAGCGCCGGCGGGACCGCCUGCUCCCGCCUCCCGUGGCCGCUGUGCUGCUGCGCAGGCCUCACCGCCCCCUACUACUCCCGCCGCUGGCCAGGCCAUCCCUCUACUCACCCAUAUCCCUCCACUGUUGUGGCUUCGCCGCCUCCGGGUCAUUCCCUUCCUGGGUCUCGCCGUCGUCCAUCACGCUAGUGUUCUCGGCACGGCGUGGUCAACGUUGUCAACAAACGACAACAUCAGAAGAGGGAUGUAAAUGGAGAGGCUGACAGUUGGGACCCACAUGGUCCAUGGCCGCACGCAAGCAAGUACCUCCUUAUUACACCAAAAAGAAUGAAUACUCCCAAUGACAGCUGGGACCCACUAGCUAUAUCUUAGCACAGAAGGAAGUGCCUCCUUAUUAAGCGAAAAAUAACGAGUGCUCCCCAUGACAGCUGGGGCCCACCAGAUUUGGAGGCUGACUUGUGGCCCUACUAAGUUGACGCGUACGGAGGAUUUGUCAACUUAGUCAACAAACGAUUCUAUCACCAGUGACCUUUGGAUUGUUAACAUCCAACGGUUGUCCUGCUUCUUCAACCUCUGAUUUUCUUACUCAGCCGUCCAAACCACCACGUGCUCCUGCCUCCCGUGGCCGGCUGUGCUACCACGGAGGCCUCACCACCCCUACUAUUCCCACCGCUGGCCAGGCCAUCCCUCUACUCAUCCAUACCCCCUGUUAUUAUGCGGCGAUGACAGCCUCACACCGCAGCCGAACCAGUCAACCCUCGUACUACCCUCCACAUGUUCCCAGGCUCCUCAUCCUUCCCUGCCUCACCGUCGUCCACCGCCCGGUGCUGUCCACGCGGCAUGGUCAACAUGGUCAACGAACGACGGCCAUUGGAAGAGGACUGUACACGGUGAGGCUGACAGAUGGACCCACCAGCUACAUCUCCGCACGCAAGGAAGUGCCUCCAUAUUACGCACACAAAAAAGAAUCCUCCCCCUAUCAGCUAGGACCCACCAGCUACAUCUUCGCACGCAAGGAAGUGCCUCCUUAUCCUCCCUAACAAACGGGAUCCACCCGGUCAAAGCUACGUAGUGUUGUCAUUCUGGUCGCAAACGUGUACGUACAUACAGGUCCAUCGGUCUUUCUACCACGAUGAAUCGUGGCCCAGUAAGGAGCGGUAGCUAUUCAGGCAGUCCUGUCUAUAUCGUGUACACAUACGUACGUACAUACGGGUGGGGUCUUGAACGCCUACUCGCGCAUACGUACGGCCAGGGCUCGAGUACAUGGAGAGGCAGCGGAGGGCAGCAACGGCGUCCUGUUCAUCGGCAACCAACCGGCUGGGUCGGAACGGAGGAACCAUCGUCGUGUUCACCGGGAGCCAAGUGACUGGGUCGGAACGCGUCCUGUUCAUCGGGAGGCAACAGACUGGGUCGGAAUGGGUCGUGUUCAUCGGGAGCCAACCAGCUUGGACGGAACAGCCGAAACGAGGCCUGGCGUAUCGUAGAACGGAGGAAACGGCCUUGUGUUCGACCACCUACGGUCAAAACGGGAUCCUGUUCACCGGGAGGGGUGUGGCGUACUGCAAAAUGGAGGAAACAGACUUCUCUUCGACCUCCUACAGUCAAAACGGGGUCAUGUUGAUCGGGAGGGGUGUGGCGUACCGCAAAAUGGAGGAAACGACUUCUCUUCGACCUCCUACGGUCGAAACGGGGGUCCUGUUCAUCGGGAGGGGUGUGGCGUACCGCAAAACGGGACUCCACGGGCUACUGUUCAUCCAUGGUCUACUCCCCUCGUGAUGGCCCCCCAAGUAUAGGGGAUCUAUCAUAGUCCUUUCGAUAAGUAAGAGUGUCGAACCCAACGAGGAGCAGAACGAAAUGACAAGUGGUUUUCAACAAGGUAUUCUCUGCAAGCACUGAAAUUAUCGGUAACAGAUAGUUUUGUGAUAAGGUAAAUCAUAAUGGGUAACAAGUAAAUAAAGUAACUAAGGUGCAGCAAGGUGGCCCAAUCCUUUUUGUAGCAAAGGACAAGCCUGGACGAACUCUUAUAUGAAGCAAAGCACUCCCGAGGACACAUGGGAAUUGUUGUCAAGCUAGUUUUCAUCAUGCUCAUAUGAUUCGCGUUCGUUACUUUGAUAAUUUGAUAGGUGGGUGGACCGGUGCUUGGGUGCUGCCCUUCCUUGGAUAAGCCUCCCACUUAUGAUUAACCCCUCUCGCAUGCAUCCGCAACUACAAAAGAAGUAUGAAGGUAAACCUAACCAUAGCAUGAAACAUAUGGAUCCAAAUCGGCCACUUACGAAGCAACGCAUAAACUAGGGUUUAAGCUUCUGUCACUCUAGCAACCCAUCAUCUACUUAUUACUUCCCAAUGCCUUCCCCUAGGCCCAAAUAAUGGUGAAGUGUCAUGUAGUUGACGUUCACAUAACACCACUAGAGGAAAGACAACAUACAUCUCAUCAAAAUAUCGAAUGAAUACCAAAUUCACAUGAUUACUUAUAACAAGACUUCUCCCAUGUCCUCGGGAACAAACGUAACUACUCACAAAGCAUAUUCAUAAUCAUAAUCAGAGGAAUAUUAAUUAUCAUUAAGGAUCUGAACAUAUAAUCUUCCACCGAAUAAACCAACUAGCUCAACUACAAGGAGUAAUUAACACUACUAGCAACCCACAGGUACCAAUUUGAGGUUUUGGGACUAAGAUCGAAUACAAGAGAUGAACUAGGGUUUGAGAGGAGAUGGUGCUGGUGAAGAUGUUGAUGGAGAUUGACCCCCUCUCGAUGAAAGGAUCGAUGGUGAUGACGAUGGCGAUGAUUUUCCCCUCCGGGAGGGAUGUUUCCCCAGCAGAACAGCUCCGCCGGAGCCCUAGAUUGGUUCUGCCCAGGUUCCACCUCGAGACGGCGGUGCUUCAUCCUGAAAGAUUCCUUCUUAUUUUUUCCAGGGUAAAAGACACCAUAUAGCAGAAGAUGGCAACCGUAGGCCUGUCAGGGGGCCCACAAGGUUGGGGGCGCCCAGGGGGGUAGGGCGCGCCCUCCACCCUUGUGGCUGGCUGGUGGGCCCCCUCUGAUUCUUUCUUCGCCCAAUAUUUUUUAUAUAUUCCAAAAACAUGCUCCGUGAAGUUUCAGGACUUUUGGAGUUGUGCAGAAUAGGUCUCUAAUAUUUGCUCCUUUUCAAGUUCAGAAUUCCAGCUGCCGACAUUCUCCCUCUUCAUGUAAACCUUAUAAAAUAAGAGAGAAUAGGCAUAAGUAUUGUGAUAUAAUGUGUAAUAACAGCCCAUAAUGCAAUAAAUAUCAAUAUAAAAGCAUGAUGCAAAAUGGACGUAUCAACUCCCCCAAGCUUAGACCUCGCUUGUCCUCAAGCGAAAGCUGAUAUCGAUAAAUAUGUCCACAUGUUUAGAGAUAGAGGUGUCGAUAAAAAUAAAAUACGGACAUGAGGGUAUCAUGAUUAUCUUUAGAACAACAACAUAUAAUGCCAUAUAAUUUCUUAUGCUAAAGUAACAAUUCAUUCACAAGGUAAAGUAUGAAUCAGAAACUUCAUUGAAAACUAACAAACUAUGAUCUCAAUCAUUGAAGCAAUUGCAAUUUAUCGAAAAGAGUCAAUUUAAGAGCUUUUCAGCAAGUCCACAUACUCAACUAUCAUAUGAUCUUUCACAAUUGCUAACACUCACACGAUACUUAUGGGUACAAAGUUUCAAUCGGACACAGAGAAAGACAGGGGCUUAUAGUUUUGCCUCCCAACUUCUUACUUCAAGGGUAAUGUCAACAAUAAUACUUUAUGAAAACCUAUAUCCGAGUGGAUAUAUAUAUCCGGAUCUCUCCAACACAUAAAGCUUGCCAAAGGAAAAAGUGUAAAAAGGGAAGGUCAUGAUCACCAUGACUCUUGUAUAGAAGAUAAAAGUAAAAGAUAGGCCCUUCGCAGAGGGAAGUAGAGUUUCUCAUGCGCUUUUAUUGUUGGAUGCACAAAAUCUUAAUGCAGAAGAACAUUGAUGUCGCUUGAAGCUAGGUCGGUAUUUCCCCAAAGAGGAAGGGAUGAUGCAGCACAAAGGCGGUAGGUAUUUCCCUCAGAUAUGAAACCAAGGUUAUCGAACUAGUAGGAGAACCAAGCAACACAACAUAAACAGCCCCUGCACAUAGAUAACAAAUCCUUGCAACCUGACGUGUUAAUGGGGUUGUCAAUCCCUUCCGGGAUACGGUGCCUCAAGAUAGGCAAACGGGCGUGAGAUAAAAUUGUAGUAGAUUGAUAGAUCGAACGCCAAAUAAAAUAAAUAAGAAUAAAUUACAGCAAGGUAUUUUUGUAUUUUUGGUUUAAUACAUCUGAAAAUAAAUGUAAGGAAAAAGUAGAUCGCAAAGGCAAAUAUAUGAGAAAGAGACCCGGGGGCCAUAGGUUUCACUAGUGGCUUCUCUUGAGAAAAAUAGCAAACGGUGGGUGAACAAAUUACUGUUGGGAAAAUGAUAGAACUUCAAAUAAUCAUGACGAUAUCCAGGCAAUGAUCAUUAUAUAGGCAUCACGUCCAAUAUUAGUAGACCGACUCCUGCCUGCAUCUACUACUAUUACUCCACACAUGGACCGCUAUCCAGCAUGCAUCUAGUGUAUUAAGUUCAUGGAAAAACGGAGUAAUGCAAUAAGAACGAUGACAUGAUGUAGACAAGAUCUAUCUAUGUAGAGAUAGACCCCCGUCGUUUUAUCCUUAGUAGCAACGAUACAUACGUGUCGGUUCCCCUUCUGUCACUGGGAUCAAGCACCAUAAGAUCGAACCCACUACAAAGCACCUCUUCCCAUUGCAAGAUAAAUAGAUCAAGUUGGGCAAACAAAACCCAGAUAUCGAAGAAGAAAUAUGAGGCUAUAAGCAAUCAUGCAUAUAAGAGAUCAAAGAAACUCAAAUAACUUUCAUGGAUAUAAAAAGAUAGAUCUGAUCAUAAACUCAAAGUUCAUCGAUCCAAACAAACACACCGCAAAAGAGUUACAUCAUAUGGAUCUCCAAGAGACCAUUGUAUUGAGAAUUCAGAGAGAGAGAUGAAGCCAUAUAGCUACUAACUACGGACCCGAAGGUCUACAAAGAACUACUCACGCAUCAUCUGAGAGGCACCAAUGGAGGUGGUGAACCCCAUCCGAGAUGGUGUCUAGAUUGGAUCUGGUGGUUCUGGACUCUGCGUCGACUGGAUGAAUAUUUCAUCGACUCCCCUAGGGUUUUGGGAAUAUUGGGGUAUUUAUAGAGCAAAGAGGUUGUCCGGGGGGCACCCGAGGUGGGCACAACCCACCAGGGCGCGCCUGGGCCUCCUGGCGCGCCCUGGUGGGUUGUGCUCUCCUCGGAGCAGCCCCCAGACGCAUCCAGGGCCCAUUAUGUUCCUUCUGGUCCAAAAAAAUCUCCGUGGAGUUUCGUUGCGUUUGGACUCCGUCUGAUAUUGAUUUCCUGCAAUGUAAAAACAUGCAGAAAACAGCAACUGGCACUUGGCACUAUGUCAAUAGGUUAGUACCAAAAAAUGAUAUAAAAUGACUAUAAAAUGAUUAUAAAACAUCCAAGAUUGAUAAUAUAACAGCAUGGAACAAUAAAAAAUUAUAGAUACGUUGGAGACGUAUCAGCAUCCUCGGGUAGGUAAGUGAUAAAAACAGAAUUUUUAAAGUGGAAUGCUGCCUAACAUGUCAUAUCAUAAUCUUUUCUUUAUAUGAUGGACAUUUGGACUUUUAUGUGAUUCAAAGCAAUAGUCUAGUUUUGACAUGAUAAUUUAAAUACUCAAGCAUAUCAACAAGCAACCAUGUAUUUCAAAAUAUCAACGCUAAAAUAAGUUAUCCCUAGCCCAUCAUGCUCAAGCAUUGAUCCAUUCAUGAAACACACUCGCAUAUUAGUUACACCCAAUACUUAAGUACAAUCAUAUUGCCUCCUAGUUGGUGCUUUUGUAAGAGAAGAUGGAGACUCAAAUUCAAAAUAAAAAUUGCAUAAAGUAAAAGAAAGGCCCUUCGCAGAGGGAAGUGGGGAUUCGUAGAGGUGCCAGAGCUCAAAGCGAAAAAUUUAGAGAUAAAAACAUUUUGGGAGGUGUAUCCAUCCCACCAACAAAAACGACUUAGAGUUCCCAACACUUUCCAUGCUAGAUAUAUCAUAGGAGGUUCCCAAACAGAAAAUAAAGUUUAUUCCUUUUUCCACCAUACUUUCACUUUCCAUGGCUAACCGUAUCCACGGGUGCCUUCCAUACCAACACUUUCCAAGGAAUUUAUUAUUUGACAACAUAAAGUAAAUUCAUUUUUCAUUUCAGGACUGGGCAUCCCUAAUACCUUUGCCUUACUCUCGUGCAAUGACAAGUGAAUAAACUCUCAUCGUGAGAAUAACACAUCUAGCAUGGAAAAUAUUAGCCACCCCUCACCGCUCCGCGAGCAAAACAAACACACAAAAGAGAAGUUUAUUUUGAAAAUUAGAGAUGGCACAUGCAAAUUUGCUUAGAACGGCAAAACAAGACCACAUAUAGGUAGAUAUAGUGGACUCAUGUGGCAAAACUGGUUUAGAAGUUUUUGGAUGCACAAGUAGAGAUCAUACUUAGUGCAAAACAAAGGCUACCAAAAGAUUGAGAAGCGACCAACCAAGAAACGGAUAAUCUCAUAAGCAAGCAUUAAGCAUAAAUAACACCAAAUAAUGCACUACAAGUAGGACAUAAUUUCAUUGCGUGACUAUUGACUUUCGUGCUUGCAUAGGGGAUCACAAACCUUAACACCAAUAUUCUUACUAAAGCAUAAUUACUCAUCAACAUAACUCACAUAUCACAUCAUCAUAUCUCAAAACUAUUACUAAGAAUCAAGUUUAUUUUGUCCAAUGAUCUUCAUGAAAGUUUUUAUUAUAUCCUUCUUGGAUAUCUAUCACUUUGGGACUAAUUUUCAUGUGUUGCUUUCAUAAGCUCAAACAAAUAUAAGUGAAGAUCAUGAGCAAAAAAAUUUCUUUCUUUCUCUCAAAAUAAUUUAAGUGAAGCAAGAGAGAAUUUCUUGAAAAUUUUACUAACUCUCAAAUAAAUCUAAGUGAAGCAAGAGAGCAUUUCUUCAAAAAUACUAAGCACACAUGCUCAAAAAGAUAUAAGUGAAGCACUAGAGCAAGUCCAUAGCUCAUAAAAAAAUUAAGUAAAGCAUAGAGAGCAAUUCUAACAAGUCAUGACAUAAUUUUGGCUCUCCCAAAUAGGUGUGUCCAGCAAGGGAUCAAGACUUAAAAUACAAAAUAAAACAAGAAAAGACUCAUAUCAUACAAGACGCUCCAAGCGAAACACAUAGUAUGUGACGAAUAAAAACAUAGCUUCGAGUAAAAUACCGAUGGUCGUUAGAAGAAAGAUGGGAUGCCAUUCGGGGGCAUCCCCAAGCUUAGUUUGUUGCUCAUUUUUGGAUAAUAGCUUGGGAUGCCGGGGCAUUCCCAAGCUUAGGCUCUUCCACUCCUUAUUCCUUCAUCCAUCGUAAGAUAACCCAAAACUUGAAAACUUCAAUCACACAAAACUCAACAAAACCUUCGUGAGAUCCGUUAGUAAAAGAAAGCAAAUCACUACUAUAAGUACUAUACCAAACCAAUUCAUAUUUUGUUUUUGCAUUAUAUAUACUGUAUUAUAACUUUUCUAUGGCCAAAACUCAUCAAAGAAAACCAUAGAGCCAUUAAAAUAAGUACACAAUGCAAAGAAAACAGAAUCUGUCAAAACAGAACAGUCUGUAGCAAUCUGACUAUUUCGAAAACUUCUGGAACUCCAAAAAUUCUGAAAAACUAGGACAACCUAGGUAAUUUGUAUAUUAAUCUUCUGAAAAAAUAAUUGGCAUUUUAUCACACUCUGGUAAAAAAUAAGAAUUGUUUUCGUGAGUGCAGAAGUUUCUGUUUUUCAGCAAGAUCAAACAACUAUCACCCAAGAAGAUCCUAUCGGUUCUACUUGGCACAAACACUAAUUAAAACAGAAAAAACACAAUCAUAACAGCAGCAUUAUUGUUCUAACACUCAAUAACAGAAAGCAAAAAUAAAAAAUAAAUUUUAUUCAUUGGGUUGCCUCCCAACAAGCGCUAUAGUUUUACGCCCUUAACUAGGCACAAAGCAAGGAUCUAAGUUUUGUCAUCUUUGGUUCGAGAUACAUAAGAUGCCCUCAUGAUUGAUUCAUAUGGUGGCCUAAUUCUUGUUCUAGGAAAGUGUUCCAUACCCUUCCUCAAAGGAAAUUGGAACUUAAUAUUGCCUUCUUUCAUGUCAAUCACGGCAUCGAUAGUGCGUAGAAACGGUCUACCAAGAAUAAUUGGACAAGACGGAUUGCAAUCGAUAUCAAGAACAAUAAAAUCUAUGGGCACAUAAUUACUAUUUUCAAGAAUAAGAACAUCAUUAAUUCUUCCCAUAGGCUUUUUAAUAGUAGAAUCCGCCAAGUGCAAAUUUAAAGAACAUUCUUCAAGAUCGGUAAGACCAAGCACAUCACAUAAAGAUUUCGGAACUGUAGAAACACUAGCACCCAAGUCACAUAAAGAAAAACAUUCAUAAUUUUUAAUCUUGACUUUGAUAGUAGGUUCCCACUCAUCAUGCAAUUUUCUAGGAAUUGAAACUUCUAAUUCCACUUUUUCUUCAAAAGCUUUCAUCAUAGCAUCAACAAUAUGUUUAGUAAAAGCUUUAUUUUGUUCAUAAGCAUGGGGUGAAUUUAUCAUGGAUUGAAACAAAGAAAUACAAUCAAUCAAUCAAUCAAAGAGCAACUAUAAUAAUUAAAGUCUUUGUAAUCCAAAAGAGUGGGCACAUCACUAGCUAAAGUUUUGACCUCUUCAAACCCACUUUCAUCAAUUUUCUCAAUAAGAUUUUCACCCUCCGAAAUAUUGGGACGCCUUCUACCUAAAGUUGACUCUUCUCCAGUCCCUUUUUCAUCAAUCUUAACUUUACUAAAUAAGGAAUCAAUAGAAUAAACACCAAUCAUUUUAAGAUCUUCAUCACUUUUGCGAAAGAAAUCGCUAGAAAAUGCUUUUUCUAAAAAUUCUCUUUUAGCUCUAAGCAUAGCGGUUCUUUUCUUACUUUCAUCCAUAGAAACAUAAAGAGCUUUAAUUGAUUCAUCUACUUUAGGCACAAAAAAUUUCAUCUUGAGAUUUUCCACAUCAUGAGCAAUUCUAUCAACACUUCUAGACAAAUCAUCAAUUUUACUCAACUUUUCUUCUAUGGAAGUGUUGAAAACUUUUUGCAUGUUGAUAAAUUCUUUAAUAUUAUUCUCAAGAUCAGAGGUGUUCCUAUUAUUAUUAUAAGAUUGGGUUCCAUAGGAAUUACCACAAUUAUUAGAGGAAUUACUAGGAAAAGGCAUAGGAUUAAAAUUACCUCUAUAAGCAUUGUUGUUGAAAUUAUUUCGAGAGAUAAAAUUCACAUCUAUGGCAUCACUAUUUGCUCAAUCAAAGUAGACAAAGGUAUAUCAUUAAAAUCAAUGGGAGCACUUUUACUAGCAACCAAUUUCAUAAGAGCAUCAACUUUUUCACUCAAAGAAGAAAUUUCUUCAACUGAAUUAACUUUUUUACUAGUAGGAGCCCUUUCGGUAUGCCAUUGUGAAUAAUUUGCCAUGAUAUUACCAAGCAAUUUGGUGGCUUCACCCAAAGUAAUUUUCAUAAAAGUACCACCCGCGGCGGAAUCUAAAAGAUUACGAGAUACAAAAUUCAAACCCGGAUAAAAAAUUUGUAUGAUCAUCCAAAGAUAUAACCCAUGAGUUGGGCAAUUCCUUAGCAUCAUUUUCAUCCUUUCCCAAGAUUGUGCAACAUGCUCAUAUUCAAGUUGUUUGAAAUUCAUGAUUUGGGUUCUAAGGGAAAUAAUUUUUGCGGGAGGAAAAUACUUAGUGAUAAAAGCAUCUUUGCAUUUAUUCCAAGAAUCGAUACUAUUGCGAGGUAAAGAAGAGAACCAAAUUUUUACAGAAUCACGCAAAGAAAACGAAAAUAAUUUCAUCUUCACCACAUCAUUGUCCACAUCUUUUUUCUUUUGCAUAUCGCAUAAUUCCACGAAGGUAUUAAGAUGGGACGCGACAUCCUCAUUAGGAGUACCGGAAAAUUGAUCUUUCAUAACAAGAUUCAGCAAAGCAGUAUUAAUAUCACAAGAUUCCGCACUAGUGGCGGGAGGAGCAAUCAGACUGCCAAUAAAAUUAUUGUUGUUGGUAUUUGAGAAAUCACAUAACUUGGUGUUCUCUUGAGUCAUGAUGACUACACAACAAGAUUGCACUCAAAAACAGAUCCGGCAAGAAAACGGCGAACGGAAAAAGAGAGGCGAAUAAAACGGCAACUUUUUGUGAAGUGGUGAGAGGAAAACGAGAGGAAAAUGGCAAAUAAUGUAAAUUGCGAGGAGAUGAGAUUUAUGAUUAGGAACCUGGUAUAUGUUGAAGAUCCUCCCCGGCAACGGCGCCAGAAAUUCCUUUUGAUGUCGCUUGAAGCUACGUCGGUAUUUUCCCAAAGGGGAAGGGAUGAUGCAGCACAGCGGCGGUAGGUAUUUCCCUCAGAUAUGAAACCAUGGUUAUAGAACCAGUAGGAGAACCAAGAAACACAACGUAAACAGCCCCUGCACACAGAUAACAAAUCCUCGGAACCCGACGUGUUAAAGGGGUUGUCAAUCCCUUCCGGAGUACGGUGCCUCAAGAUAGGCAAACGGACGUGAGAUAAAUUGUAGUAGAUUGAUAGAUCGAAUGCCAAAUAAAAUAAAUAAGAAUAAAUUGCAGCAAGGUAUUUUUGUAUUUUUGGUUUAAUAGACCUGAAAAUAAAAUGCAAGGAAAAAGUAGAUCGCAAAGGCAAAUAUAUGAGAAAGAGACCCGGGGGCCAUAGGUUUCACUAGUGGCUUCUCUCGAGAAAAAUAGCAAACGGUGGGUGAACAAAUUACUGUUGAGCAAUUGAUAGAACUUCAAAUACUCAUGACGAUAUCCAGGCAAUGAUCAUUGUAUAGACAUCACGUCCAAGAUUAGUAGACCGACUCCUGCCUGCAUCUACUACUAUUACUCCACACAUCGACCGCUAUCCAGCAUGCAUCUAGUAUAUUAAGUUCAUGGGAAAACGGAGUAAUGCAAUAAGAACGAUGACAUGAUGUAGACAAGAUCUAUCUAUGUAGAGAUAGACCCCAUCGUUUUAUCCUUAGUAGCAACGAUACAUACGUGUCGGUUCCCCUUCUAUCACUGGGAUCAAGCACCAUAAGAUCGAACCCAUUACAAAGCACCUCUUCCCAUUGCAAGAUAAAUACACUACUGCAGGAUGCUGCUAACGCGACACUACAAUCAGAGACCCUUCGACGAAAUUGUGUGUGAUGCAAUAAUCGCAAACAGUGGUGUAAAAAACCCGUCAAAAAAGGUGCAAAAUGUUUGCGAUGGAGGAUGCAUCAAACAUGGUUCAGAUUUUAGUUGCGUGUGAGAUGCAGGACAUACGGUUCAGUUCAAUUAACUGUUUGCGAUGAUGAGGAAUAAAAAAACGGGCAGCCAGAUGAAGGUGUGUAUGAUAUACAGCAUACGGUUCACUAGGAUGAACUGUGUGUGAUUAGGCAACACAAUGAAAACGACUCAACUGAACAAGAUAUGUGUGAUACGCGACAAACAUGUCCGUAAUCAGAAAUGUGUGCGAAGGCCAACAAUAACAUAGACGAUUGCUGCUAAUAAGCCGUGUGAUUUGCUCUGUCUACAGAAGAAUAACCUGUAUAAAGACUUGAUUCCAUAAACAGAUUGAACAUCGAAUCCUAUAUACCUAAGAAGUUUACCCCACUACUCUAUUUAUCUCAAUAUGCAGCCUAUCCACGUCAUAUCUAGGACCUACGUGUACAAAGCUUUCCCAAUAGCCCAUGCAGCCUGCCCUGUCAUCACAAUCCUCCGCGAUUUAUUUUCUCCACAGUAAAUUCACCCCGAGGCCAUAAACGGCAAUUGGAAGCAGGGGAAGCCGGACAAGCAGGAUGGCCUCCUUCGCUUCCCCUCCCUUCCCCUUCCUUCCACCCCAAAUUUAUGGCGAUUUCUCUCCUUCGUCGACCUACUUUUUUUUCCAUGUGUAUAUAUGGUCACCUCCUCCCCCGCGUUCCUCCCACACCUCCUCCCGCACCAGGUCACUGCCUCUAGACCACGCUUCCUGGAAUUGAUGAUGCCUCAUCCUUUGAGCACGCCGGGGCUCUUCUCUGCUUCCAGCGUUGGCGCUCGCGUCAGAUCCAUGCCACCGUUUUCGUGGCAGGAGAGAUGGAUGCCCCAAGGCCCAAUGAUCAUGUAUUCAUCUACGCUGCUGUAGGAUGAACGUCAUGGCUUUUGCGCCCUUCCUCAUUCCUCCACGAUGGCAUGAGGGAUGUCGAUCUAUGUGCAGGGCAGAUGAAUUCUUCAUGUGCUGUUUAUAUUCCAUAUGCAUGCAUGCAGAUCGGUCAAAAAGAGAAAACUCUCGACCGUCGGAAAACAGUACUCAUCAGGCUGCCCCCAUGGAUCUGUUUGUUGUGUUUUCUGCAAUCCCACUGUUUUCUGUAGAUGACCUGAUGGAUGUGUGUGUGGUGUUGAUCCCUGAUCUGAUGGAUGGAUGCGUUCCUGUUCCUGAUCGAUGCAAUAGCUGCAAGGUUAUUUUUUUUAGAAUCAGUACCCCUCAACUACCACCGCCUCUCCAUCAUUGUUGCAAGGGGGCGACCUGACAUCUCCCCUCUUCUAGAUAAAACUCAUGGCAACCAGAAGCAUACCUUUGUUAAAUAUAGUAUAUUUUCUUUGCUCGCUACAUAAUGAGAACUUUCCUGAUUGAAUUAGAGUGGGAUUUCAUCAUACGUGGUUAUGGUUUCUAAAUAGUCAAAUAUAGGAAUACUCUCCUUUCUAUUCCGACAGGCGUGGAUGGGCGAUUGGGUGCCUCGGGAAACCAGCGGGCACGGACCACGGAGGGCGGAAGCGGCGAGCCAGGAGGACCGGCGAUGGAAGAGGACAGAGGAGACACGGUCCCCAGCAGCAACUGCUUGGAGAGGGAAUUCUCUCUUGAGGAGAGGAGAAGCCGAGCAAUUUGCUUGGGUUUGACCUCCACGUAUUAACUAAGCCCCUGAUUUUUUUUAUGAAGUACUCCCUUCGUUUCUAAAUAUAAGUUUUUUAAAGAUUUCACUACCAACCACAUACAUCCGUAUGUAGAUGCAUUUAGAUUAUAGAUUCACUUAUUUUGCUCCAUAUGUAGUUCAUAGUAGAAUCUCUACAAAGACUUAUAUUUAGGAACGGAGGGAGUACAAUUUUGCUGCAGCAGAUAGAUGGACGAAAACACACUUUUAGAACUUUUUAGGGGGGCGCACCCUAAAUAGUAAUUGAUGUGUUAUGCAUAGGAAAGUUUAUUUUAUCCUUACUAGAUUGUUUGUAAGAUGUUUUAUUAGAUUGCAAGUAACCCACGUUAACCAAAUUCUCAGAACUUCGAGCAUUCUUUGUCGUCCAAGCAAGGUUCUGCACUUGAUACUAACGGAUGACAAUAGGGAUGAAUGGAUAAUUGACAUAUACCUCUAUUAAAGUAAUUUCACUGCAUAUUUUUCCUUUUUGCAUCUAUGCUUCUACCAUAAUCAACAAACUGCAUUAGACUUUGCCAAGAAUACCACCUAUUUCAACCCACAACAAAAAUGAAUGCCACCGAAUUCGUGAAACCUACGUAUGCUGCUGAAAUUGUAAAGUUGAGAAUACUAUGAAACAACCGCAACGUUAUGAUUAUCCAGUUGUAACUGCUGAUUGCAUAAGGAAUGGAACAACAAAUUCCAUUGAUUUUACCGAGAUCACUAAUCAUAAUAGCAACGCCUUACCAAAAUCAGCGUUCAAAAUAAAGAAUAGAUCCGGUCUAACUGUUUAACAUGUUUUAACACUAAUGUUUCAUGCAAACAUUCUGAACUAUUUAUCUAUGUUCUAUCUUUCACCUACCAUACCGUGAGACGAAUUACUCUCCUUCACUCUAUGUAUGUUGACACUAUAUGGUGCUUUGAAUUUCUGCAGCAACGCGCGGGGAAUUAUCUAGUUACAUAUGUGGCUAGUACACACAUGACCUUUGCACACACGAAAGUACGUUCCAAAAUGCAUAUGAAACUCAAAUAAUGUAUAAAAAGGCAAAACGAACCGUGAUUAAUUUCAUAUUUUUAGGACGACGCUACUGUAUAUAGUUGCAUGUUGCCUCUGUAAAAUAAAUCAAGGCGGGAAGAGACAUCGUAUGUCGUUUCACACACAUAGGUGACAAGGUCUCUCUCGGAACCAUGAGCCUUUUUGAGAGAAGCUCCGGUUUGUAAGAAGAUUGUACCAAAACUUGUCCCAAAUUGGACUAAUUUUUUACCACAACAUGUUGGUGCUAUGACAUAACACCAUGCCAAGUUUCAUGAUUUUGAGGCGAGUUUUGGAUUUACAGUAAUUUUAAAACCAGGUUUCUCAAUGUUUACUGUCGAGUCGGCACCGCCCUGGAUAGGCUUUUUCCUCGUGGGUCCCAAAUGAUAAAUCCAAAUCUGUGACUACCAUGCAGCUUUUCUUAUUAAGAAUUAUAGCCCUUGGUGUGCAAGCUGAAAAUAAGUUUGUGGGUGCUGGUGGGCACUAAAAACUUGCGGUUCUGUAAUGAAAAAGAUCUCAAGGAUCCCGCGAGAGUGAUGUUCUUUGCCUAUGUUGUGAAUGCUUAUAAUAUUUAUGUCUUAAUUAAAGAAAUGGCAAGCCAUUGGCCCAGUAUGAAAUAAAAUAUGGGUCAAAGCCGAGUUGUAAAGGGUAACAAUAUCCAACUCCAGCUAACAAACAGUACAAAAGCACGAGGAUUAAUUGCUCAUCAGGUUUAGACAAAAUCCAGAUUGAACAGGACAAUGACAUCUAACUCAGCCAAAGUUUUCGGCAGUCACAAUCAAAUGGAUCGGUCUGAUCCAUAAAAUCAAGAUCCCCGGCCUGAAAAUCUACUAGUCCAUGAUGACAAGCUGUUGUAAAUAGAAGCCAAGCACGAUCAGAAGCCCUUAGGUCCACAUGAAACUUCUUUUUAUGUUGUUCAACACCUGCAGCCGUAAGAAAUUUCUUGUUGAAAAACUUAAUCCUCACGGACAAUAGAGCCCUCGCAUUCAACAUGAAGAAUGUGACAAAGCUAGUUUUUGCAUUGUUGGAUGCAUAUCCUUCCAGUGUUACUGUCUUCAAACGAAUGUCGUGAGAUCUGAGAAAAUCCCGGUGCUUCUUGAACCAUCGAUUGGUUAUACCUUUUUCUCCAUGUGUUAGUGCCUAAAUAGAGAUGAAGAUUGAAAACAGUUAAUGUCUAAAAAAGAUUAUGUUGAAAGAGUGAUAGCUGAACGAUUAAUUACAGUACAUUAUAUGUAGACUUUCAAUGUGCGUGAAAUCAUCACCUUCAUAUACAAAUUCUCCAAACAUGGAAAGCAUUGCAGCAAGGCAAUAAUGAUGUUGAGAUCAAAACACCACAUAGUGAUAAAUAAGGUCUUGACAGAAUCCACCACCACUGAGAGGAUGGACAAGGGCUUCAUUGAGCAUAGAACAUAAUGUUAGCACUGAAAGUGUACUCCCAAGAUGAUACUUAACUUAUGCGCACAAAUGAAAAAUGCAAAUUACAAAAGUGUACGUGAAUAAUAUAUAGUACCUCAAUAGGUGUGGAGGCAAACACCAUCUCGAACCAUUCAAAUGGAUCACUAAUUGCACCCAAGGUCUCCAGUUUAGGCGCAGAGACCACAAUUAUUUGUGAAGGUUUGUAACAACAAUUAAGGAGCAACCUUUGAAGUGAAGGGGCGUCUUCGAUGAUGAGCUCCUGUCCUUCAAAAUGAAUUCCAAUGCUUACAAGGUGAGACGAAUUUAUUUUGAGACAAGGGAUAUGGAUUCCUAGUCCAAAAACAAGCACCAAACGCUAUAGUGCAGGGCAGCUAGAGUGGAUGGUGUUGUGAAGUGAGGCCACCGACAGAUCAACCAACACAAGCGCAAGUUUUUUCAGCAUUGGCAGUCGAAGCAUUUGUACCAGAUAGUCUGCUAGAUGGCACCGGUUCAAGGUGGCGGUGUGGAGAGAGGAGGAAAACCAUGAGAUGGGCAUCGGUGGUGAGGGCACAGAUGCAGCUCUUGGUGGUAACCUAUCGCUGUAGUAAUGGUAGAACUCAAGCUGCUGGAGUUUACCGAAUUGAUGGGAUGUCAGCCAGGCAGCCACCAUGUAGGGUAUGUCCAGCAGGUAGCAUGUCGGGAUGUAGAUGCGUUGAACGGAGCCCUCGUGGGAGGAGAUGAUGGCUCUGGGGAGUUCAGAAUCAUCAUCGACAGAUAGCUGACGACAGUCGAGAUUAAGAGGCGCGGUGCACCACAGAGUGCGCCACCGAGAUGCGAGAACUUGUGUGCAGCAGCCAUCCUUGGUGGGGAGAAGGGAGAUGAUCUCCCCAAGGAUUCCGUCUGGGAGAUCGCUGAUGCGGUCCACCGGAGAUUCUACUAGUUCCUCAGGUCCAGGGGGCGCUUCUGGCCGCACAGCCGGGUCCAAGAUCUACAUCCGGCGGCGGCGCUGGUCCUCAUCUGUGUACAUACCAAUCUGAAAGAAAAAAUGGCAUAACAUGUAGGACAUUCAAAAUCAACUCUCAAGAUCAGGAAGAAAGAAGGCACAAACAUAUAUGUAGGAUAUUCAAAAUCAAUUCUCAAGAUUUGGCCACGAAUUAUUAGCACGCAAGCUAACCCUAGUCGGAUUAUUAGCAAAAAUCAUCUGUACAGAACAAACAAUUAAUCACUAACUCUAUACGGAUAACAUUGAAACAAUCAAUACACUACGUGCAUCUAACGAAUCUUAAUUACUCUGAUUUCAUGGACUGAGAGAACAUAACCAUAGGAUUUGUAUUCCAGAAAAAUUAUAGAGGGACGGGGUGGGGGAUUAACCAGAGAAAACACUUGAUAUGUUUGCCGCACAAAUGGGUAUAUAGAUGACUAACCGGUUUUCCGUCAGAGUCGCAGUUGUUGCCGGAUUUGCUGUUGACCUCCGGCUCCGGGUGGGGGGGGCACGACGGCGCUGAUGAAUUCAAGCUCGUGUUGGAAAUAUGCCCUAGAGGCAAUAAUAAAUGGUUAUUAUUAUAUUUCUUUGUUCAUGAUAAUUGUCUAUUGUUCAUGCUAUAAUUGUAUUAUCCGGAAAUCGUAAUACAUGUGUGAAUACAUAGACCACAACGUGUCCCUAGUAAGCCUCUAGUUGACUAGCUCGUUGAUCAACAGAUAGUCACGGUUUCCUGACUAUGGACAUUGGAUGUCAUUGAUAACGGGAUCACGUCAUUAGGAGAAUGAUGUGAUGGACAAGACCCAAUCCUAAGCAUAGCAUAAAAGAUCAUGUAGUUUUGUUUGCUAGAGCUUUUCCAAUGUCAAGUAUCUAUUCCUUAGACCAUGAGAUCGUGCAACUCCCGGAUACCGUAGGAGUGCUUUGGGUGUGCCAAACGUCACAACGUAACUGGGUGACUAUAAAGGUACACUGCGGGUAUCUCCGAAAGUGUCUGUUGGGUUGGCACGGAUCGAGACUGGGAUUUGUCACUCCGUGUGACGGAGAGGUAUCUCUGGGCCCACUCGGUAAUGCAUCAUCAUAAUGAGCUCAAUGUGACUAAGGCGUUAGUCACGGGAUCAUGCAUUGCGGUACGAGUAAAGAGACUUGCCGGUAACGAGAUUGAACAAGGUAUUGGGAUACCGGCGAUCGAAUCUCGGGCAAGUAACAUACCGAUUGACAAAGGGAAUUGUAUACGGGAUUGAUUGAAUCCUCGACAUCGUGGUUCAUCCGAUGAGAUCAUCGUGGAACAUGUGGGAGCCAACAUGGGUAUCCAGAUCCCGCUGUUGGUUAUUGACCGGAGAGGCGUCUCGGUCAUGUCUGCAUGUCUCCUGAACCCGUAGGGUCUACACACUUAAGGUUCGGUGACGCUGGGGUUGUAGAGAUAUGAGUAUGCGGAAACCCGAAAGUUGUUCAGAGUCCCGGAUGAGAUCCCGGACGUCACGAGGAGUUCUGGAAUGGUCCGGAGGUGAAGAAUUAUAUAUAGGAAGUCCAGUUUCGGCCACCGGGAAAGUUUCGGGGGUUAUCGGUAUUGUACCGGGACCACCGGAAGGGUCCCGGGGGUCCACCGGGUGGGGCCACCUGUCCCGGAGGGCCCCAUGGGCUGAAGUGGGAAGGGAACCAGCCCAUAGUGGGCUGGGGCGCCCCCCAUGGGCCUUCCCCCUGCGCCUAGGGUUGGAAACCCUAGGGUGGGGGGCGCCCCACUUGACUUGGGGGGUAAGUUACCCCCCUGGCCGCCGCCCCCCCCCCUCCAGAUGGGUUCUAGGCCGGCGCCCCCCCUCCCAGGGGGCCUAUAUAAAGGGGGGAGGGAGGGCAGCAACAUUACAGCCUUGGGCGCCUCCCUCCUCCCCUGCUACACCUCUCUCUCUCGCAGAAGCUCGGCGAAGCCCUGCCGACAUCCCGCUACAUCCACCACCACGCCGUCGUGCUGUUGGAUCUCCAUCAACCUCUCCUUCCCCCUUGCUGGAUCAAGAAGGAGGAGACGUCGCUGCACCGUACGUGUGUUGAACGCGGAGGUGCCGUCCGUUCGGCACUCGGUCAUCGGUGAUUUGAAUCACGGCGAGUACGACUCCGUCAACAACGUUCAUUGGAACGCUUCCGCUCGCGAUCUACAAGGGUAUGUAGAUGCACUCCUUUCCCCUCGUUUCUAGUAUACUCCAUAGAUGGAUCUUGGUGAGCGUAGGAAAAUUUUAAAAUUAUGCUACGAUUCCCAACAGUGGCAUCAUGAGCCAGGCCUAUGCGUAGUUACUAUGCACGAGUAGAACACAAAGUAGUUGUGGGCGUUGAUGUUGCCAAUUCUUCUUGCCGCUACUAGUCUUAUCUUGUUUCGGCGGCAUUGUGGGAUGAAGCGGCCCGGACCGACCUUACACGUACGCUUACGUGAGACAGGUUCCACCGACUGACAUGCACUAGUUGCAUAAGGUGGCUAGCGGGUGUCUGUCUCUCCUACUUUAGUCGGAACGGAUUCGAUGAAAAGGGUCCUUAUGAAGGGUAAAUAGAAAUUGGCAAAUCACGUUGUGGUCAUACGUAGGUAAGAAACGUUCUUGCUAGAAACCUACAAACCACAUAAAAACUUGCAACAACAAUUAGAGGACGUCUAACUUGUUUUUGCAGCAUGUGCUAUGUGAUGUGAUAUGGCCAGAAGAUGUGAUGAAUGAUAUAUGUGAUGUAUGAGAUUGAUCAUAUUCUUGUAAUAGGAAUCACGACUUGCAUGUCGAUGAGUAUGACAACCGGCAGGAGCCAUAGGAGUUGUCUUUAUUAUUUUGUAUGACCUGCGUGUCAUUGAAUAACGCCAUGUAAAUUACUUUACUUUGUUGCUAAACGCGUUAGCCAUAGAAGUAGAAGUAAUCGUUGGCGUGACGACUUCAUGAAGACACAAUGAUGGAGAUCAUAAUGAUGGAGAUCAUGGUGUCAUGCCGGUGACGAAGAUGAUCAUGGUGCCCCGAAGAUGGAGAUCAAAGGAGCAUGAUGAUAUUGGCCAUAUCAUGUCACUAUUUGAUUGCAUGUGAUGUUUAUCAUGUUUUGCAUCUUAUUUGCUUAGAACGACGGUAGUAAGUAAGAUGAUCCCUUAUGAUAAUUUCAAGAAAAGUGUCCCCCCUAACUGUGCACCGUUGCGAAGGUUCGUUGUUUCGAAGCACCACGUGAUGAUCGGGUGUGAUAGAUUCUAACGUUCGAAUACAACGGGUGUUGACGAGCCUAGCAUGUACAGACAUGGCCUCGGAACACACGCAAUACACUUAGGUUGACUUGACGAGCCUAGCAUGUACAGACAUGGCCUCGGAACACGGAGGACCGAAAGGUCGAGCAUGAGUCAUAUAGAAGAUACGAUCAACAUGGAGAUGUUCACCGAUCUUGACUAGUCCGUCUCACGUGAUGAUCGGACACGGCCUAGUUAACUCGGAUCAUGUUUCACUUAGAUGACUAGAGGGAUGUCUAUCUGAGUGGGAGUUCAUUAAAUAAUUUGAUUAUAUGAACUUAAUUAUCAUGAACUUAGUCUAAAAUCUUUACACUAUGUCUUGUAGAUCAAAUGGCCCACGUUGUCCUCAAUUUCAACGCGUUCCUAGAGAAAACCAAGCUGAAAGAUGAUGGCAGCAACUAUACGGACUGGGUCCAGAACCUGAGGAUCAUCCUCAUAGCAGCCAAGAAAGAUUAUGUCUUAGAAGCACCGCUAGGUGAAGCACCAAUCCCAGAGAACCAAGACGUUAUGAACGCUUGGCAGCAGCGUGCUGAUGAUUACUCCCUCGUUCAGUGCGGCAUGCUUUACAGCUUAGAACCGGGUCUCCAAAAGCGUUUUGAGAAACAUGGAGCAUAUGAGAUGUUCGAGGAGCUGAAAAUGGUUUUCCAAGUUCAUGCCCGGGUCGAGAGAUAUGAAGUCUCCGACAAGUUCUUCAGCUGUAAAAUGGUGGAGAAUAGUUCUGUUAGUGAGCACAUACUCAGAAUGUCUGGGUUACACAACCACUUAUCCCAGCUGGGAGUUAAUCUCCUAGAUGACGCGGUCAUUGACAGAAUUCUCCAGUCGCUUCCACCAAGCUACAAGAGCUUUCUGAUGAACUUCAAUAUGCAGGGGAUGGAAAAGACCAUUCCUGAGGUGUAUUCAAUGCUGAAAUCAGCGGAGGUGGAGAUCAGAAAAGAACAUCAAGUGUUGAUGGUGAAUAAAACCACUAAGUUCAAGAAAGGCAAGGUUAAGAAGAACUUCAAGAAGGACGACAAGGGAGUUGCCGCGCCCGGUAAGCCAGUUGCCGGGAAGAAGUCGAAGAAUGGACCCAAGCCUGAAACUGAGUGCUUUUAUUGCAAGGGAAGUGGUCACUGGAAGCGGAACUGCCCCAAAUACUUAGCGGACAAGAAGGCCGGCAACACCAAAGGUAUAUGUGAUAUACAUGUAAUUGAUGUGUACCUUACCAGUACUGGUAGUAGCUCCUGGGUAUUUGAUACCGGUGCGGUUGCUCAUAUUUGUAACUCAAAACAAGAACUACGGAAUAAACGGAGACUGGCGAAGGACGAGGUGACGAUGCGCGUCGGGAAUGGUUCCAAGGUCGAUGUGAUUGCCGUCGGCACGCUACCUCUGCAUCUACCUACGGGAUUAGUUUUAAACCUCAAUAAUUGUUAUUUAGUGCCAGCUUUGAGCAUCAACAUUGUAUCUGGAUCUCGUUUAAUUCGAGAUGGCUACUCAUUUAAAUCCGAGAAUAAUGGUUGUUCUAUUUAUUUGAGAGAUAUGUUUUAUGGUCAUGCCCCGCUGGUCAAUGGUUUAUUCUUGAUGAAUCUCGAACGUGAUGUUACACAUAUUCAUAGUGUGAAUACCAAAAGAUGUAAAGUUGAUGACGAUAGUCCCACAUACUUGUGGCACUGCCGCCUUGGUCACAUUGGUGUCAAGCGCAUGAAGAAGCUCCAUGCAGAUGGACUUUUGGAGUCUCUUGAUUACGAAUCAUUUGACACGUGCGAACCAUGCCUCAUGGGUAAGAUGACCAAGACUCCGUUCUCCGGAACAAUGGAGCGAGCAACCAACUUAUUGGAAAUCAUACAUACCGAUGUGUGCGGUCCAAUGAGUGUUGAGGCUCGCGGAGGAUAUCGUUAUGUUCUCACUCUCACUGAUGACUUAAGUAGAUAUGGGUAUGUCUACCUAAUGAAACACAAGUCUGAAACCUUUGAAAAGUUCAAGGAAUUUUAGAGUGAGGUUAAGAAUUAACGUGACAGAAAAAUAAAGUUCUUACGAUCAGAUCGUGGUGGAGAAUAUUUAAGUCACGAGUUUGGUACACACUUAAGGAAAUGUGGAAUAGUUUCACAACUCACGCCGCCUGGAACACCUCAGAGAAACGGUGUGUCCGAACGUCGUAAUUGCACUCUAUUGGAUAUGGUGCGAUCUAUGAUGUCUCUUACCGAUUUACCGCUCUCAUUUUGGGGCUAUGCUUUAGAGACUGUCGCAUUCACUUUAAAUAGGGCUCCGCCGAAAUCCGUUGAGACGACACCGUAUGAAUUAUGGUUUGGGAAGAAACCUAAGCUGUCGUUUCUAAAAGUUUGGGGAUGCGAUGCUUAUGUCAAGAAACUUCAACCUGAAAAGCUCGAACCCAAGUCGGAGAAAUGCGUCUUCAUAGGAUACCCUAAGGAAACUAUUGGGUAUACCUUCUACCUCAGAUCCGAAGGCAAGAUCUUCGUUGCAAAGAACGGGUCCUUUCUGGAGAAGGAGUUUCUCUCGAAAGAAUUGAGUGGGAGGAAAGUGGAACUUGAUGAGGUGAUAGUCACCCCUUCCGUGCCGGAAAGUAGCGCAGCGCGGGAAGAUGUUCCUGUGGUGCCUGCACCGACUGGGGAGGAAGUUAAUGAUGAUGAUCAUGAAGCUUCGGAUCAAGUUACCACUGAACUUCGUAGGUCCACAAGGACACGUUCCGCACCAGAGUGGUACGGCAACCCUGUCCUGGAAAUCAUGUUGUUAGACAACGGUGAACCUUCGAACUAUGAAGAAGCGAUGGCGGGCCCGGAUUCCGGCAAAUGGCUAGAAGCCAUGAAAUCCGAGAUAGGAUCCAUGUAUGAAAACGAAGUAUGGACUUUGACUGACUUGCCCGAUGAUCGGCGAGCCAUAGAAAACAAAUGGAUCUUUAAGAAGAAGACGGACGCGGAUGGUAAUGUGACCAUCUACAAAGCUCUACUUGUCGCUAAGGGUUAUCGACAAGUUCAAGGGGUUGACUACGAUGAGACUUUCUCACCCGUAGCGAAGCUGAAGUCCGUCCGAAUCAUGUUAGCAAUUGCCGCAUACUAUGAUUAUGAGAUAUGGCAGAUGGACGUCAAAACGGCAUUCCUUAAUGGCUUCCUUAAGGAAGAGUUGUAUAUGAUGCAGCCGGAAGGUUUUGUCGAUCCUAAGAAUGCUAACAAAGUAUGCAAGCUCCAGCGCUCAAUCUAUGGGCUGGUGCAAGCAUCUCGGAGUUGGAACAUUCGCUUUCAUGAGAUGAUCAAAGCGUUUGGGUUUACACAGACUUAUGGAGAAGCCUGUGUUUACAAGAAAGUGAGUGGGAGCUCUGUAGCAUUUCUCAUAUUAUAUGUGGAUGACAUAUUAUUGAUGGGAAAUGAUAUAGAAUUCUUGGAAAGCAUAAAGGCCUAUUUGAAUAAGUGUUUUUCAAUGAAGGACCUUGGAGAAGCUGCUUAUAUAUUAGGCAUCAAGAUCUAUAGAGAUAGAUCAAGACGCCUCAUUGGUCUUUCACAGAGUACAUACCUUGACAAGAUAUUGAAGAAGUUUAAUAUGGAUCAGUCCAAGAAGGGGUUCUUGCCUGUAUUGCAAGGUGUGCAAUUGAGCACGGCUCAAUGCCCGACCACGGCAGAAGAUAGAGAAAAGAUGGGUGUCAUCCCCUAUGCCUCGGCCAUAGGGUCUAUUAUGUAUGCCAUGCUGUGUACCAGACCUGAUGUAAACCUUGCCGUAAGUUUGGUAGGAAGGUACCAAAGUAAUCCCGGCAUGGAACACUGGACAGCGGUCAAGAAUAUCCUGAAGUACCUGAAGAGGACUAAGGAUAUGUUUCUCGUUUAUGGAGGUGACGAAGAGCUCGUCGUAAAGGGUUACGUCGACGCUAGCUUCGACACAGAUCUGGAUGACUCGAAGUCACAAACUGGAUACGUGUAUAUUUUGAAUGGAGGAGCAGUAAGCUGGUGCAGUUGCAAGCAAAGCGUCGUGGCGGGAUCUACAUGUGAAGCGGAGUACAUGGUGGCCUCGGAGGCAGCAUAGGAAGCAGUCUGGAUGAAGGAGUUCAUUACCGACCUAGGGGUGAUUCCCAAUGCGUCGGGCCCGAUGACUCUCUUCUGUGACAACACUGGAGCUAUUGCCCUUGCGAAGGAGCCCAGGUUUCACAGGAAGACCAGGCAUAUCAAGCGUCACUUCAACUCCAUUCGUGAAAGUGUUCAAAAUGGAGACAUAGAUAUUUGUAAAGUACAUACGGACCUGAAUGUAGCAGAUCCGUUGACUAAACCUCUCCCUAGAGAAAAACAUGAUCAACACCAGGACGCAAUGGGUGUUCGAUUCAUCACAAUGUAACUAGAUUAUUGACUCUAGUGCAAGUGGGAGACUGUUGGAAAUAUGCCCUAGAGGCAAUAAUAAAUGGUUAUUAUUAUAUUUCUUUGUUCAUGAUAAUUGUCUAUUGUUCAUGCUAUAAUUGUAUUAUCCGGAAAUCGUAAUACAUGUGUGAAUACAUAGACCACAACGUGUCCCUAGUAAGCCUCUAGUUGACUAGCUCGUUGAUCAACAGAUAGUCACGGUUUCCUGACUAUGGACAUUGGAUGUCAUUGAUAACGGGAUCACAUCAUUAGGAGAAUGAUGUGAUGGACAAGACCCAAUCCUAAGCAUAGCAUAAAAGAUCGUGUAGUUUCGUUUGCUAGGGCUUUUCCAAUGUCAGGUAUCUAUUCCUUAGACCAUGAGAUCGUGCAACUCCCGGAUACCGUAGGAGUGCUUUGGGUGUGCCAAACGUCACAACGUAACUGGGUGACUAUAAAGGUACACUGCGGGUAUCUCCGAAAGUGUCUGUUGGGUUGGCACGGAUCGAGACUGGGAUUUGUCACUCCGUGUGACGCAGAGGUAUCUCUGGGCCCACUCGGUAAUGCAUCAUCAUAAUGAGCUCAAUGUGACUAAGGCGUUACUCACGGGAUCAUGCAUUGCGGUACGAGUAAAGAGACUUGCCGGUAACGAGAUUGAACAAGGUAUUGGGAUACCGACGAUCGAAUCUCGGGCAAGUAACAUACCGAUUGACAAAGGGAAUUGUAUACGGGGUUGAUUGAAUCCUCGACAUCAUGGUUCAUCCGAUGAGAUCAUCGUGGAACAUGUGGGAGCCAACAUGGGUAUCCAGAUCCCGCUGUUGGUUAUUGACCGGAGAGGCGUCUCGGUCAUGUCUGCAUGUCUCCCAAACCCGUAGGGUCUACACACUUAAGGUUCGGUGACGCUAGGGUUGUAGAGAUAUGAGUAUGCGGAAACCCGAAAGUUGUCCGGAGUCCCGGAUGAGAUCCCGGACGUCACGAGGAGUUCCAGAAUGGUCCGGAGGUGAAGAAUUAUAUAUAGGAAGUCCAGUUUCGGCCACUGGGAAAGUUUCGGGGGUUAUCGGUAUUGUACCGGGACCAUCGGGUGGGGCCACCUGUCCCGGAGGGCCCCAUGGGCUGAAGUGGGAAGGGAACCAGCCCAUAGUGGGCUGGGGCGCCCCCCAUGGGCCUUCCCCCUGCGCCUAGGGUUGGAAACCCUAGGGUGGGGGGGCGCCCCACUUGACUUGGGGGGUAAGUUACCCCCCGGCCGCCGCCCCCCCUCCAGAUGGGUUCUAGGCCGGCGCCCCCCUCCCAGGGGGCCUAUAUAAAGGGGGGAGGGAGGACAGCAACAUUACAGCCUUGGGCGCCUCCCUCCUCCCCUGCUACACCUCUCUCUCUCUCGCAGAAACUCGGCGAAGCCCUGCCAACAUCCCGCUACAUCCACCACCACGCCGUCGUGCUGCUGGAUCUCCAUCAACCUCUCCUUCCCCCUUGCUGGAUCAAGAAGGAGGAGACGUCGCUGCACCGUACGUGUGUUGAACGCGGAGGUGCCGUCCGUUCGGCACUCGGUCAUCGGUGAUUUGAAUCACGGCGAGUACGACUCCGUCAGCAACGUUCAUUGGAACGCUUCCGCUCGCGAUCUACAAGGGUAUGUAGAUGCACUCCUUUCCCCUCGUUGCUAGUAUACACCAUAGAUGGAUCUUGGUGAGCGUAGGAAAAUUUUAAAAUUAUGCUACGAUUCCCAACAGCUCGUGCUGCUGCCUGCGCGAGACCUCGUCAGCGGCGACGGAAACCUCUGUGGCCAGCUUCACGCAUUGUGCGGGUGCUUCACCAGCCCCGGCGUCGCCACUCCCUCCGAUGGUGCGCUUCGGCGGCAUCGUCAUACAAUCCGGAGUCCAGACGUCGGUGACCACUAUGGACCGGGGGUGCAGCCGCCUAUUAUGGCCGGCGGCUCGGGCGCGCAAUUAAUAUGGACCAGUGGGAGCGAGGCAGGCUGCGGUCAAAAGUUGUCUCGCCUCCCGGUGAGCCUGCGCGGCGGACGUCUGCCAUUCCUACCAUCAUUUCACACAGCUACUCGCACGCCUCCUUGUCAAUACACACACCUGCACGCACGCCUCCCGGUAUGCCUGCGCGGCGGACUACUCGCAUGCGUCCCGUCAACUCACGCCUGCUCGCGCGGCACACGGGGCGUGUGGCAGCACGUAUAUUUUUGGUUUAUUUUCUGCCGCUUUACUGCUUCACUAAACCGUUUACGUUGAAGAGAUGCACAAAUCCUGCAUUGAACAUCUCGCACGCUUCCCGGUGAACCUACGCACCGGGCGAGUUUUGGAUUUACUAGAAUUUAAAAACCAGGCAUCUUUAUGUUUUGCCGGCAAUCAACAAUGCUCUGGUGUUUGAAAUUCAUUCUCAUUUCUUGCAUGGGACCUAAGCAUGCACAUAAGGACACUGAUUUGAUUUUUCAACCAAUUUAUAUGCACUGGAGCAUGUGCAUGUACUUCAAAUUUUAAUUAUGCACGUAAAUGCAUUUAAAACUCAGUUAAUGCAUAAAAAUGUCCAAACGAACCCCAAAAAAUCAUAAAAAUUGACACAACACUCCUGUUGUUCUAUGUUGACACGAGAAAAAAUUUGAAAGCAAUAAGAGGCAAUGGAUAUCGUUUCGUCCCCAAAGGUGGGACGUUCCCUACCGAAACCAUCAUGCUUGUUGUGAGAAGCUAUGGUUUGUGAAAAGCAUAUACCCAAACCUGCCCCAAAUGGGACAAAAAAUUUACCACGGCAUGUUGAUGUCGCUCCAUGAUAGCAUGCCAAGUUUCAUGAAUUUCAAAUGAUUUUUGGAUUUACUAGAAUUUAAAAACUAGGCAUCUCAACAUUUUGCCGGCAAUCAACGGUGCCUUGGUAUUUGAAAUUCAUUCCCAUUUCUUGCAUGGGACCUAAGCAUGCACCGAAGGACACAUAUUUGAUUUUUCAACCAAUUUAUAUGCACUGGAGCAUGUGCAUGUAGUUUAAAUUUUAAUUAUGCACAUAAAUGCAUUGAAAACUCACUUAAUGCAUAAAAAUGUCCAAACGAACCCCGAAAAAUCACAAAAAAACACAACACUCUUGUUGUUAUAUGUUGACACGAAAAAAAUUUGGAAGCAAUAAGAGGCAAUGGAUAUCGUUUCGUCCCCAAAGGUGGGGCGUUCCCUACCGAAACCAUCAUGCUUGUUGUGAGAAGCUCCGGUUUGUGAGAAGCAUAUACCCAAACCAGCCCCAAAUGGGACAAAAAAUUUACCACGGCAUGUUGAUGCCGCUCCAUGAUAGCAUGCCAAGUUUCAUGAAUUUCAGACAAGCUUUUGGAUUUACUAGAAUUUAAAAACCAGGCAUCUCAAUGUUUUACCGGCAAUCAACGGUGCCCUGGUGUUUGAAAUUCAUUCCCAUUUCUUGAAUGGGACCUAAGCAUGCACCCAAGGACACAGAUUUGAUUUUUCAACCAAUUUAUAUGUAUUAGAGCAUGUGCAUGUAGUUCAAAUUUGAAUUAUGCACAUAAAUGCAUUGAAAACUCAAUUAAUGCAUAAAAAUGUCCAAACGAACCCCGAAAAAUCCCAAAAAUUGACACAACACUCCUGUUGUUCUAUGUUGACACGAGAAAAAAUUUAAAAGCAAUAAGAGGCACUGGCACUACACCACGGUAGAGCUUACAUGACACACUUCUGUGGGCAAAAGUUCAAUAAUCUCCACAAAAUAACUGUCGGUGUAGCUUUUAAGUUUUAUCUUCGGAUCAUAUGUUGGCAUAGGCACAUUAUUGUGGACACACUAAGUGUCGGCAACCACACAACGACAAUGUAUCUUUCAGUAAUUGCUUAAUAACAUGUUAUGUGUCGGCAGAUGUCUGGGUUUUGACAUUUUUUCAGUCGCCGUAGGUAGGUACUUAGCGACCUAACAUGUGUCAGCGUACAUAGGGUGUAUGGACACGAACAAAGUGUCCGGGUAGGUGGACACGUGUCAAUCGUUGGAAACUUGGCGUGGGAUUUCGGCGCGGGUGGAAAUUUUUCGGGUUUUUGUGCAAAAUAACCUCCACCCCCGAGCAAACAAUCCCCAAAUCGAACAACUCCACAACCCUAACCCGUGCCCUGUCGCCGCCCACCUUGCGCUCGAUCCACGGUCCGGACGCCAUCGCCGCCGGCCUCGCGCUCGAUCCAAAGUCCGGACGCCAUCGCCGCCGGCCUCGCGCUCGAUCCAAAGUCCGGCCGCCAUCGCCGCCGGCCUCGCGCUCGACCCCGUCGUCAAGCCGUCGUCCCGGAGGUCGCACCCCCCUCCCCCAAGCUCCACCCCACAUCCACCCAUCCUCGCACUCUGCCCCCUCUCCCCGAGAUCGAGCCGCGGUCCUCGCACUCCACAAUCCGACGGCCGUCCUCGUGUCCUCCUGACAUCCAGCCGUCGUCCUCGCGAAUCUCCAUCCCUGCUACCUCCGGGGCUCCAUCGUCGUGCUCCCGCUGCUGCCGGAUCUGCUGCUAUCGGGGCUCCAUUGCCAGCCUCCCGCUGCUGCCGGACAUGCUGAUGCCAGGGAUCCAUCUCCAGGCUCAUUAUGCUGCUACCGGACCUGCUGCCGGGGCUCCAUCUCCUUCGAGUUGUGCCCCUCCCGAAUCCAGCCGUCCCCGUGCCUUGAGGUAAGCGUCAACUCCUCCUAAGUUUUCCUUUGCUGUACUGCUGCACUUAAUUCAUAUGUCAUUGCUUGUGACAGUAGACAACCGGACAAGAAUGUGUUUCUGUUGCUUGAUUGUUUUGUACUGCUAUUUGCCUGAAUAAUGAAUAAUGAUUGUUGCUUCACCGAUGCAAAACUAACACUGUCGCACUAGCCAAAUUCAGAUACUUGGAAAAUUUGAUAUUAAUGGUGCAUCAUGGACAAAACGUGGUUGUCUAAGCCUAGGUACAUCAAAGUUUCCUUUUUCCCCAACUCAUAAGCGGUAUAAUUAUGUCAUGAACUAUUAUGAUAUCUCUGUUUGUGGUGAUUGGGUUGGUGUAGAUGAGUCGACAAUGAAGCUCGGGGACGUCAAAUGGCGCUCGGUGUAGGUGGCCAUGGUGGACCUGAAGCUGGCUGAGAUAAGCGAUGGGGUCAGUGUUGUGCUCCUUCCGUUCUCAUUAACCAAAUAGUGCAGACUGUGGCUGUAUGACUCGUGUAUAUAUCCACUUGGACCACCAAAAUCAAACUGAUAGCAAGAACUUGAUAUAGUGCUAAGUUAUAGUUCGUAAACAGAUCCAUAUUAGUUUAGAGAUCCGCACAACAAAUUUAUACAUUCAGAAUGACCACCAAAAUCCAGCAGCACAAUUAACUAGAUUGGAAGAAUUUAUUUGAUUAAUAUGUGCACAUGAAAGAACAAAUUAACCCGUGUGAACUAUCCACAUCGGUCUGAGUUAUGCUGAACUUUUUGAUCUUUUUACUAACCACAUCGGUGGUCUAAAAGAAUUAAUGAGUAGCAACACAGACUAAGAAAUUGCUAUUUAUCUUAUCUAUGCUAAGAGACCGGAGACUGAAUUUACCAACAUGGAAGGAUUCCUCAAGAGCACAUCAGCACCUGAAGCUGCUGCUGUCGCAGCUCUACAAUUUUUCUUCUUUCCGGAUGCCCGACAGCCCGAGCAUGCAAGAGCAGCAGCACGAGCAGGCCGUGCUGUGCAACAUCAGCAGAGCGCUCUCAGUGCAGCGGAACUACUCGGGCGUCUCUGAUGACAGUAUAUUUGAUACUGAAGUUGAAGAUUGUAGCACGGCAUUCGUACUAGUAAUAAUUACAUGUAGGCCUAUUUUUGAAUGCCUAUUUUUCAGUUGUUUUGGGAAUCAGACCAAAGAGUAAUGAUUGUUGUUGUCUUGUUGCAGAUCAAAGAUGCCAAGAAGACAACUAAUGUGCCAGGAGUUGCAGGUACUGACAACAGUUGCCUCUACUUGUUGAAGCUUUAGAUUUUUAUUUCCUCUUUAAAUAGAUCAUAGAUGGUAACCUCAGCUUCAUCCUCAAUGGCUCGUGAUAUUGUAGUAUCUCUUCAUCUAAUUUAUACAUUACAAGUAAGCUGAAUGUGUCAAGACAAUGUACAAAGAAGUGCAACAUAACUACAUAAGGCCCAGCCAUGUUUCCUCUAUAGCAUAUAAAAGUUUAGUACAAUCUACUACUGCCAGUUCUUAAAUAUUAUUACAACCUACAACUCUUAGUAUCUGACAAGCCCAUUUCUUUAUAAACUACUACUGCCUGUUCUUAAAUAUAACAAGCUACAACUACUACUAUGAGUUGUUAACAAAUAAUAUUGCUGAUCAGGAAUCCUAUCUUAUGGUAUUUAUUGCCAAGUUUGUAGGCAUCAUCUUAUCCUUUAUAACCUGUUGCAGACUCACAGAGCUGCCAUGUUAGCUUAUUAACUUGCCACCAGUCUGAACUUUUGAGCUCCAGAAUAGAAUAUUGUAAUUCUGAUGGUGUCGUGCGGCUCAAUUAAGAAACGAUUCUGCGGAAGCAUAUUGAUAAUCCAUGUCCUGAUCUUUGUCAAAUAUGUUACAAACUUGAAAAUAGCCACAUCCUAAUUCUGCAUCCUUUCCCCUUGUAUUAGUUUAGUUUGUUUGUUGCCAUACCAAGCUUAUUUUUGAGAAUGUGUUUUAAUCGUCAUAAGCAUUUCUGUAGCAUAUAUGCACAAGUAGAUUUUCUGGGAAUGCUCUUGCUAAUAAUUCUGGGACAUGAAACCAAAAGGAACUCAAGUGUGUUGAUCAAAUGAUGUUGACAAAAAUAGCAGAACAUUGUUUCCUGUGGUGAUUGAUUCCUGUGGAGAAGGAAGCCCGCAACACUACACUUCACCGCAUAGGAACAAAUAUAUUUGUGUGUAUUCAUGGUCAUAUAACAAUGUUACUCUCACAUGAACAAUCAAGUAUAAGCUAGCAUGUGCCGCUCUAGCCUAACAAUCUUCAUAUGAGCUUUGAACAACUUUUGGAAUGAUUGCACUUUCGUGACAAAUUCAUAUGGAAUAUUUUCAGGUACUUAGCCACACCUAGCAUUGGAUGUGAGGAGGACUUGGAGUGUCAUGGAACACAUAUGGCUGUUUGCAGUAUUUUGGACCAACCAACUUCAAUUAUUUCUUGAAUUUUAUGUGUGUUCUGAACCAUUUGGUGCUUCAAGUGUUUUGGAGUAGAAACUUUGUGCUCAUGUAUGUGAUUUAUGUGUUCUGGACCAUUGUUUGAAUUAGUUCAGACUAGCAAAUAGUGGCCCUUUGACUUGUGUGUUCUGGAUGGUCAAACUAUGCUUGUGAACCUGUGUGAAUAUAUAUUUAUGUAUGUUUGUGAACCUAUCAUCAUUGUUGUCCAAUAUGUGUUCAUCUUGAAGUUGUUUGUUGAUCGCAUUUGACAUUGUAU